ACAGGGAGCUGCCGGGGUGGGAGUCCCGCAGCCAACAGCUCAGCCGGGAGUCCCCAGCAGUCACUCACACCCAUCGCAGCCACAGAUACUUCACACCCACUGCUGAAGUUGUCACUACCCUGGGAAGCUCCAAAUUCAGAUGGCAGCUCGCAUGCCGCUAGAUUAGCGCCUGAUGUUGCCUCUUCCUUUGGAAGAAUAGCUUUCUUUUAUUUCAGAGACAGCUUCGUGUGCGGACCAUAAGCAGUCUGCCCCCUUUUAAGCACCGAAACCUGGCUUUGCAUCGUUCUAGAAGCAGCUGUAUUUUAAGAAGAUUUCAUCUCACUGGGAUCCACUCCUGCCAUUUUUUAGCCCAGCAAGAUAAUGCCUUCAUUAAUUUUUUAUAAGAGCAAUUUAAAUAAAACCUGCAAUGCACUGCUGAGAUUAAAAAAAAAUAUAUUUCAGCUCUUGCUGUUGAUAGUAGCACUCAAAAAUGGUUAGACAAGUAAUGGAGCACUUGGAAAACAUCCAUUCUGUUUCAAGGAAAUCUCACCAGAUCAACA